GAGAAGCGUAGCUAUGUCUAGGACCAGGAAUCUCCAAUGUUACCAAAUCGUUCGACCGCUGACUAAUAGAAAGUGCUAGAAAAUUGGACGAAUGAUGAUAACAAGGUUAGGUGCUACAAAUUGACGUCUAAGUCAAAUGAGUUGCAACAUCAGGUCAUAUAGACUACUUAGGCUAUGUUGACUCACCUACAAAGGUUAUAUGGUGAGAUGAGUCGAUUUGUACAUUAUGAAGUAUCUGAGAGACUCUUCAAUGCUAAGAUGAAUUAAGGGCAGUCAGUCUAUAAUCAUCGUUUGAUAAUGAUCAAAGAUCUGGAGGAGCUUGAAAAGCUCGACAUGACCAUGCAUAAGAAAUUGCAAGCGAAUUUGAUCCGGCAAUCUCUUACUAGUUCAUAUAGAUAGUUUAUAAUAAACUACUAUAUGAACAAGAAUGAUUAUCCCCUAACUGAGUUAUUAGGCAUGUUGAUGACCACCUAAGAGACUUUGAAGAGUUUAAAGGGCACAGUUCUCGCUGUGAAGUGGAGAAACUGUCAAGAAAAUCUAAAAAUCUUUAAAAAAAAAUGAAAGGGACACACUUUUAAAAGGUACGUUAGACUACUUAUAAAAGCAACUAAUCUUAUGAUUUCUUUUACUUCAUGUUGAGCGACAAACUCUGGUUCUAGUGUACUUUUGUGCACUUCUAUGCAGGGUCUUAAGGAAAAUACAAGGCUUGGGAAGGUGAGAUGACCCUUUGAGUAGGCAACAGGGCAAGAGCUGCUACUAUGGCUGUAGGCACCUAUCUUCUACGAUAAUCGUGUGGGUUUAGUUUCUCUAAAGAACUAUUAUAAUGUUUUUGCUACUAGCAAAAACUUGAUUCUGUUUUAGCACAGGAUAAUUAUGAAUUUAGUUUUCAUAAAGACUAUCGUACCUUUUAUUUUGAAAAUAAAAUAGUUGGACAUAGCUUUAUGAUUAAUAGUCUCCAUCAUUUAUAUAUUGAUGUGAAUGUAUUCGA
rnacentral:lncRNA from 1 species